AUUUCUGCCUUUCGCCGUGACUUCCGGGCGAGGAGAUGUCCAGGGCCCUCCUGCUGGUCGUCGCACUCGCUCUGACAUCGUCACCCGGUCAGCGUCGGAGCACCGGGUCAGCUCACGUGGGCUACGCUGGACCGCCUGUGGACCGCGCACACCCAGGAGGCAAAGCGGAGGCCUCCGUUCCUGUGCAGCAUCGCUAUGAGGAGGAGGAGGAGUCCCAUGUAACACCAGGGAAGCAAUGGACAGAUGCUCGUCUGGCCAAGGACAGUAAACUGGGCAUCUUCAUCGCGGCUUCGCUGGGAACGCUCACCCUCAUGGGCACCGUCUACUGCAUCUACAGCCACUUCUACACCAAGAGCCCGUACUCCCACGCGCAGCUCCGGGACGACGCAGAGCUGACCCUUGAACUCACGGACCCGUCCACCUCCUUCCUCCCGAGCGACGGGGCGCCGGCGAACGGGGACGAUGGGCCGUGGAAGGCCGGCUACGGCUCCAUGUCGGACGCGCCCUCCGUCAUCCCCUUGCCGCCGGCGCAGACCCUCGUACCGCCCGCAGCGCCCUUCCCCCCGCGCUCCCUCUGCCGCACCCCCCCUCUGCAAACCAUCUCCGCUCGAGAUCUAGAGAAAAGCUUUGUUUGACAGACGACUUGUAGAAACACCCCAAACCCACUCCGCAUGAGUCCAGUUCCAUCAAUCGCUUAGUGUGUCAGGGUAUCUAUAUGUUAUUAUAAACGGAUAUUUCGAAAAGUAUACACAUUAUAGGGUCAGUGAUAUUGUUGGGGUAACUGGUAGCGUGGCGGUUAGCGCUGCUGUUGCCUUUGGCCCUUAGAGGUUGUAGGUUCGAAUCCCAUGUCUGGCUUGAGUAAGGUACUUACCCUGAAUUGCUGCAGUAAAAUUACCCCACUGUAUGAAUGGGUCAGUAAUUGUAAGUAGAUUAAUGUUGUAAAUCACUUUGGAGAAGAGUGUGAGGGCAAUUAAUGAAUGUUAACAGUAGCUGUAGGAGCAUCUUAGUUCAUGUUACUUUUACAGUGUCGUACCGUAUGAACGUGUGGGUACCAUUCGGCUUGGUCUCCUUUUGUGUUUUACCCGACGUGUCCAUAAAAUAAAAUAAAAAAGUGUUUUUGAACUAAAUGCUGU
rnacentral:lncRNA from 1 species